GGAUACAUUCAUAAUGUAAUUGAAUGUGAGUCACGGUGGGCAGAGUGUUGAGAUUGUUAUUCGCCGAGAUCAGGGCUACAUUCAUAAUGCUAUCGAAUGUGAGUCGCGGUGGUCAAUGGUGGUGUGUAUGUCUAUUGUUUUUUCCGAGAUCAGGGCCAUGAAUAUGAUUUAAACAACUUGUGCGUCACGGUGGGGAGUAGUUUUAUAAUGUGCAUGGUUGUCUCAUUGUGUGGGUUCAAGGAAGUCUGCUUGGUAGCAAAAAGGGUGACAUGAAUAAGUAAUUUAGUCGUGGAUUUCUCGAGUUAGGUGCUGCAGCUAAUUGAGAAAAUAGGACUCUUCCCUCGCAGCAGUUUGUUAGUAUUUGUUUACCUUAUUUAUGUAAUAAGGGGUGCACAAAGAGACAUCGGUACUUUGUACCGACUUGAGUUUUAUUUUCAGUAGCUUUGAGACACUACUUUGUUUUCAAACUUUCUUUUGAUAUUUGAUGGGAUGUAUCAGACUUCAAUAUGCCUAUCCCAAUAAAAGUGACAUUUGAUGGGAUGUAUCAGACUUCAAUAUGCCUAUCCCAAUAAAAGUGACAAUUCUGUUUGUUUUAUUCUA